rnacentral:rRNA from 1 species
GACGAACCGUCCUAACGUUGUUCGGAUUCAUUGGGCGUAAAGGGUGCGUAGGCGGCGCGGUAAGUCGGGUGUGAAAUCUCGGAGCUUAACUCCGAAACUGCAUUCGAUACUGCCGUGCUUGAGGACUGGAGAGGAGACUGGAAUUUACGGUGUAGCGGUGAAAUGCGUAGAUAUCGUAAGGAAGACCAGUGGCGAAGGCGGGUCUCUGGACAGUUCCUGACGCUGAGGCACGAAGGUCAGGGGAGCAAACGGG